GCCACUCAGGAAGUGAGGGAGUGUGGCUUGGACUUUUCCUGGCUGGGAAAACACACAGAAAGAGCCUGUUUCCUCUGCAAGCAGAGACGUGAGGGAGCUCAGCCAGGCUGGGAGUGUCCAGAAGGCGGAGCCCCGGACUGGCUGGAAAAGAGAACUCCAUCUCAGGAACCAUGGUUUGCCCUGGAGAGCUUAGCACUGGGCUGAGCACACCGUGUGGGAUUCAACGUGCUAAAAUGCAGAACCUGAUGCCCAGCAAAGGGGAAAGGAUAGCAGGAGCCUUGAUCCACCCAGGAAGAGGUGCCAGCUGGAUCAGCAAGAGGCUGGUGGAGAACAAGAAGCUGCUAUGAACCAAUCUUUAGAAAACAGCAGGAUCUCCGAGGAGAGAAAGAAUUUCUCUCCAGCCAAAAGCUUCAUGAGAUGGAAGGGGAUAUCCUAUCUCCUAUAUUGUAUCCUCAUCAUGGUCUCAAUAAACCCACUUGGAAGAUG